rnacentral:lncRNA from 1 species
GGAUCCCAGACUCGGCCAAUGAUGGUAAUCGGGGUUUCUCUUAAACUGGUUGACUUGGAGAAGUGAAAUUCGGUGGAGAGGUUCGUUAUUUAACCAACCAGCAGCAUGCAAAAGGAUUUAAAGAAAUUCCAACCCUAACUGGUUGAAAACUUAGGAAAACCUCUUCGUCUAGGAAUCCCAGAGUCAGCGAAUGAUGGUAAUCGGGGUUUCUCUUAAACUGGUUGACUUGGAGAAGUGAAAUUCGGUGGAGAGAUUCGUUACUUAACCGACCAGCAGCAUGCAAAAGGAUUUAAAGAAAUUCCAACCCUAACUGGUUCAAAACUUAGGAAAACCUCUUCGUCUAUGGAUCCUAGACUCAGCCAAUGAUGGUAAUCAGGGUUUCUCUUAAACUGGUUAACCUGGAGAAGUGAAAUUCGGUGGAGAGGUUCUUUAUUUAACCAACCAGCAGCAUGCAAAAGGAUUUAAAUAAAUUCCAACCCUAACUGGUUGAAAACUUAGGAAAACCUCUUCGUCUAGGGAUCCCAGACUCGGCCAAUGAUGGUAAUCGGGGUUUCUCUUAAACUGGUUGACUUGGAGAAGUGAAAUUCGGUGGAGAGGUUCGUUAUUUAACCAACCAGCAGCAUGCAAAAGGAUUUAAAGAAAUUCCAACCCUAACUGGUUGAAAACUUAGGAAAACCUCUUCGUCUAGGAAUCCCAGAGUCAGCGAAUGAUGGUAAUCGGGGUUUCUCUUAAACUGGUUGACUUGGAGAAGUGAAAUUCGGUGGAGAGAUUCGUUACUUAACCGACCAGCAGCAUGCAAAAGGAUUUAAAGAAAUUCCAACCCUAACUGGUUCAAAACUUAGGAAAACCUCUUCGUCUAGGGAUCCCAGACUCGGCCAAUGAUGGUAAUCAGGGUUUCUCUUAAACUGGUUGAGUUGGAGAAGUGAAAUUCGGUGGAGAGAUUCGUUAUUUAACCAACCAGCAGCAUGCAAAAGCAUUUGAAGAAAUUCCACCUCUAACUGGUUGAAAACUUAGGAAAACCUCUUCGUCUAGGGAUCCCAGACUCGGCCAAUGAUGGUAAUCGGGGUUUCUCUUAAACUGGUUGACUUGGAGAAGUGAAAUUCGGUGGAGAGGUUCGUUAUUUAACCAACCAGCAGCAUGCAAAAGGAUUUAAAGAAAUUCCAACCCUA